AACGUAGGUUCCGAGCGUUAUCCGGAUUUACUGGGCGUAAAGCGCGUUCAGGCGGUUUGGCAAGUCGGGCAUGAAAUCUCUCGGCUCAACCGGGAGAGGUUGUCCGAUACUGCUGGACUUGAGGGCAGUAGAGGGUGGUGGAAUUCCGGGUGUAGUGGUGAAAUGCGUAGAUAUCGGGAGGAACACCAGUGGCGAAGGCGACUUCCUGGCCUGUUCUUGACGCUGAGGCGCGAAAGCUAGGGGAGCAAACGGG
rnacentral:rRNA from 1 species